AGUUCUGCCUUCCCUCAGUCAGACUUGAGCACACAUUAAUGCGAGAGGAGAGGAGAAGGAACGCCUGGCUGUUGCUGUUUUCAAGGAUUUGAAGGCCAAUGUGAGAGUCUUUGAGGAUCAGUCUUGGGCCAAAAGAGGAAGUGACUUCUUUGACACCUGAUAUAAAGAGAGAGAGAGAGAGAGAGAAAGAGAGAGAAGAACAGAAAAGAGAAGAGAAGAGAAGAGGAGAAGAGAGAGAGAGGAGGGGUGAGAGUGAGGGAGCUGAGGCAUGAUUUGCUGAGGCUCUGCAGCUCCUAACACAGGAAGCGUGCUCUCUUCCCUUUUUCUCAGGCUGCAGAGAGUAAGUGCAGUCUACUGCUAUUUAACUUUGACCUGCGUGAUUAAAUAAAUGUGUUGUUGUGGUUGGGGGG
rnacentral:lncRNA from 1 species